GAGUUUGAUCCUGGCUCAGGAUGAACGCUGGCGGCGUGCUUAACACAUGCAAGUCGAGCGAUGAAGUUUCCUUCGGGAAACGGAUUAGCGGCGGACGGGUGAGUAACACGUGGGUAACCUGCCUCAUAGAGUGGAAUAGCCUUCCGAAAGGAAGAUUAAUACCGCAUAAUGUUGAAAGAUGGCAUCAUCAUUCAACCAAAGGAGCAAUCCGCUAUGAGAUGGACCCGCGGCGCAUUAGCUAGUUGGUGGGGUAACGGCCUACCAAGGCGACGAUGCGUAGCCGACCUGAGAGGGUGAUCGGCCACAUUGGGACUGAGACACGGCCCAGACUCCUACGGGAGGCAGCAGUGGGGAAUACUGCACAAUGGGGGAAACCCUGAUGCAGCAACGCCGCGUGAGUGAUGAAGGUUUUCGGAUCGUAAAGCUCUGUCUUUGGGGAAGAUAAUGACGGUACCCAAGGAGGAAGCCACGGCUAACUACGUGCCAGCAGCCGCGGUAAUACGUAGGUGGCGAGCGUUAUCCGGAUUUACUGGGCGUAAAGGGAGCGUAGGCGGAUGAUUAAGUGGGAUGUGAAAUACCCGGGCUCAACUUGGGUGCUGCAUUCCAAACUGGUUAUCUAGAGUGCAGGAGAGGAGAGUGGAAUUCCUAGUGUAGCGGUGAAAUGCGUAGA
rnacentral:rRNA from 1 species